UACAGAGGUGGCAAGCGUUGUUCGGAAUUACUGGGCGUAAAGGGCGCGUAGGCGGCCAUCUAAGUCAGACGUGAAAUCCCCCGGCUUAACCUGGGAACUGCGUCUGAUACUGGAAGGCUUGAGUAUGGGAGAGGGAUGUAGAAUUCCAGGUGUAGCGGUGAAAUGCGUAGAGAUGUGGAGGAAUACCGAUGGCGAAGGCAGCCCCCUGGGCCAAUACUGACGCUCAUGCACGAAAGCGUGGGGAGCAAACAGG
rnacentral:rRNA from 1 species